rnacentral:rRNA from 1 species
UACGGGGGGGGCAAGCGGUGUUCGGAAUUACUGGGCGUAAAGGGCUUGUAGGUGGCCAACUAAGUCAGACGUGAAAUCCCUCGGCUUAACCGGGGAACUGCGUCUGAUACUGGAUGGCUUGAGUGUGGGAGAGGGAUGCGGAAUUCCAGGUGUAGCGGUGAAAUGCGUAGAUAUCUGGAGGAACACCGGUGGCGAAGGCGGCAUCCUGGACCAUUACUGACACUGAGAAGCGAAAGCCAGGGGAGCAAACGGG